rnacentral:lncRNA from 1 species
UAAUAAUGUGGAAACAUGUGCUGAAAGUACAUAAGGUUCAAUACUGAACAUAAUUGAAUAACAUAACAUCUGGGUGGGAUAAUAGAAUACCCAAAACAAAAUUGAAGUCUAAAACAUGAUAGUCUGUAUCUAGUCUACAUCUAUUCUGAAAUCCUCUACUAUCUAAAUAAUUUGAAUAAGGAGUUGAUGGGAUAUGUCCCCAACUAACUCAUAUUAAUUACUAAUCUAUG